GAUGAAGAACGCAGCGAAAUGCGAUACGUAAUGUGAAUUGCAGAAUUCAGUGAAUCAUCGAAUCUUUGAACGCACAUUGCGCCCGCCAGUAUUCUGGCGGGCAUGCCUGUUCGACCGUCAUUUCAACCCUCAAGCCCCCGGGCUUGGUGUUGGGGAUCGGCGUGCCCUCGCGGCGCGCCGUCCCCUAAAUCUAGUGGCGGUCUCGCUGUAGCUUCCUCUGCGUAGUAGCAACACUCGCACUGGAUCGCAGCGCGGCCACGCCGUUAAACCCCCCACUUCUGAAAGUUUGACCUCGGAUCAGGUAGGAAUACCCGCUGAACUUAAGCAUAUCAAUAAGCGGAGGA
rnacentral:misc_RNA from 1 species